GACGGGGACCGCGGACAGAGGGGGAGGUUCAACAGGGCCCAGCGUGGGUGCGCACUUCCGGCGGCUGGGCCCGCCUCGCCGUCCCUUCCGGCAGCGGGUUGCCAUGGAGACGCGGCGAGCAAGGCCCGAUGCGCGGCCGAUCUGGCCCAUGGGCUGAAUGGUGUAGAUCGGCUUUGAAAUGUUUCGUAUGUAUUCAGGCCACUGGUUCACGUGGGUCCUUUCGUUUGGAGCAUUUGCAUCAUCUAGUGGUCGAGCUGAAAAAUUGCAAUGAUCUUUCGGUAUAGUGUCAAUGCACAAGAUCCCAAGCUGAUUGUUCUCACAAGCUAAUUUGGAACUGGAAAAAGUUCUGAACGUCAAUUAGCAAGGAACAGUGGUGGAUGAAACAAAAACAUACAACAUACUCAUUGACAUGAAGUAGAAUUGCUGAAGAAGGGUUUCGGCCCGAAACGUCGCCUAUUUCCUUCGCUCCAUAGAUGCUGCUGCACCCGCUGAGUUUCUCCAGCAAUUUUGUGUACCUUCGACAUGAAGUAGAAGAUAUGUUGUUGUGGUCAGACCACGACCAUUACAUUCAAUCUCUUGGUGAAUGAUUUGAAAUCUGAUGAACAGUGUUUCAGGUGUUGAUGGGAACAUUCUUUCUAUGACUUUAAUUGUUAUUAGAAAACAACAGCAUGGUUGUGCUUUUUCUCUACCACUUUUGUCUACCUUCGAUUUUCCAGCAUCUGCAGUUCCCUCUUAAACACUUGUUCUUCACCACUGAUGGGUUAGAUGGACUGUCAUAAACCAUAUGAAAGGCCAAACCACUUUUUCCUCAGCACAAUUGUUGUCUGCUAAUGUCCAUUGUGUGCUUGAAGCACGGUUGAACUCUGCACUUUUUGACUCAGAAGCAGAGAAGCCACUGGUUUGCUUGUGGCACAGUUUGAAAUAGUGCUGCUGAUAAUUACAGGCGGCAAAACAUGAUCGGAUAAGAGAUAUAAAAAAUGUGCCGAAUAUAGUGAGUGACUUACUGAAGGAGAUUGCUCAAGCAGCACCCGAAUGAGUUAAAAUGUAAUAUGGAGAUUUGAAGAUAAGUGAAUAUUUUCUGUUGCACAAUGGGAGAUGAAUUGUAACUCAUUGUCCAGGAAUAUGUCUAAUCAGAGCUGGCAACACUGCUCCAUCUGCUUAGGGGCAUAAAGAGCUUUUUUUGCCAGAACUGGCCACAACACAAUGCUACAUUUCUAUAAAGAAGCGUUUCCCGAGGCAUCGGUGCUUUAUUUUCCAUUCUGUUCCCAUAAAUUAGAACUCCAGAUCUAUGGGAGCAUUAUGCACUUGGUCUCAGGGUAAACACAAAUUGUUACUUUUACUUGCUUCUCAAACAGAUGACCAUUGUCUCAGCACUGGCAUCAUUAUCUUAAUUAAUUCACUAGAAAUUACACUCAUUGUCAUUUGAAAGCAAGGAAAGAGAAGAUUGUGUAUCUGGCUCCCAUGAAUGUGCUUUCUCCACUCAGCGGUCUAUGACUAAUCAUCAUCUGUUGUGCUCCUUCUUGUGAUAGGUUUAUCACAAGGUAAGCACAAAAUGCCAAAGUUAGUUUUCAUAUGAUCCUUCAUCAACAUAAUAGAGGAGAUGUGAUCAAAUGCUUUUGGCAGAGCAGUUUGGAAAGGCUUUGGAAGGCUCCUGUUCUUUGAAAGAUAUCCAGCUUUACUAUUUCAUUUAACCACCUCCAGGUUGUUAGCGAUAUAAAUGUUAGGAGCCGGUACACAGGUAUGUGAAGCAAUUGAUAAAAUAGUGCUUGGUGCAAUCUUCCAUGCCUAGACUGCAUUGGAAAGAUAACAUAAGCCAAAUUAAAGAUGAUACAAGAA